GAUUCAGUGAGGAAAGUCCAAACCACCGUGGUGGCACAUCCAGAUGAGGGCGCUAUGAGCCAGGACAACCAGAAUAAACUAUCUUCAGGGAAUGUUCAAAGCCAUCAGAAGUCCCCUUGCUUGGCUGAUGGUGCAGAAGAGAUGGUUUGUGGCAGUGAGAUUCAUGCUGAUUCAGAGUGUGAUGUAACUGAAGACAAAAUGGGGAUCAUAACUAAACUUGCGAGCUCACUGUUUCCCUUCUCUAUGUUCUUCCGCAAGAGUUCUGCAAAAUAACAUUUCAAACCGUCAUUCCUUGACAUUUGUGGAGCUCAAACCUGUUCUUGUUGGAGAAAAUCUUUUUCAGUUUGAAAUGUCUUCAAGGUUUGAA